UACGUAGGGGGCAAGCGUUGUCCGGAUUCAUUGGGCGUAAAGAGCUCGUAGGCGGUUCAGUAAGUCGGGUGUGAAAGCUCCGAGCUCAACUCGGAGAGGCCACCCGAUACUGCUGUGACUUGAGUCCAGUAGAGGAGCGUGGAAUUCCUGGUGUAGCGGUGAAAUGCGCAGAUAUCAAGAAGAACACCAAUGGCGAAGGCAGCUCUCUGGGACGGUACUGACGCUGAGACGCGAAAGCGUGGGGAGCGAACAGG
rnacentral:rRNA from 1 species